rnacentral:rRNA from 1 species
CCUACGGGUGGCAGCAGUCGAGAAUCAUUCACAAUGGGGGAAACCCUGAUGGUGCGACGCCGCGUGGGGGAAUGAAGGUCUUCGGAUUGUAAACCCCUGUCAUGUGGGAGCAAAUUAAAAAGAUAGUACCACAAGAGGAAGAGACGGCUAACUCUGUGCCAGCAGCCGCGGUAAUACAGAGGUCUCAAGCGUUGUUCGGAAUCACUGGGCGUAAGGCGUACGUAGGCUGUUUCGUAAGUCGUGUGUGAAAGGCGCGGGCUCAACCCGCGGACGGCACAUGAUACUGCGAGACUAGAGUAAUGGAGGGGGAACCGGAAUUCUCGGUGUAGCAGUGAAAUGCGUAGAUAUCGAGAGGAACACUCGUGGCGAAGGCGGGUUCCUGGACAUUAACUGACGCUGAGGCACGAAGGCCAGGGGAGCGAAAGGGAUUAGAUACCCUAGUAGUC